ACAAAUAGGGUUAAAGGUAACCUACAAAACUAUUUCGUUUAAUUAACGCAGUUGCGGUUAGGAUAAAAUAUCUUUACGUGAUGAAAAACAGAUUCUGAACAAUAAAUAUACAUUCUUUUGUAGAUAUCAAUUGUUCGUGAAUGUUUCAGUAAUUAUUGUUUCCAGAAGUGGAUGUGAAAAGUAUAGACCACUACAAAGCGAAGAUGAGAAAAACAACACCAAACGUUUUAAAAAAAAUCACUAAUUUUGUUUAAGAACAACAAUACGCGAUGCUUGACUUCCAAAAAUAACAUAGGCUACACGAUUGCAACUAUACCGCUAACAUUGCAUAACGUUAUUAAUAAUGAUCGAUUAUACAUAAAAAAUGUUGCUGGACUGUGAUCGGAUGAAUUCAGUGUAGUUGAUCGCAAACAGCAGUGCGAAAUUGUCCAACAGUUGCGCAACAAUCCGUAAGAAACGUGCAAAAACCUGUAACAAACUGAUCUGAUUGGUAGUGGGAUGCUAAAUCUGAAAAUUAGCUUAAAGAAGUCGUUAAGUAACGGCCUCGGCCAUUACUUGACCGAGCACUACAUAAAGUUAAAGUUGAAUAUAUGAGUAUACAUUUUUAAAUUGGAAAGAUUUUACCUUAAACAAGGUUGACAAAACGUACAGGGGUUGUGUGACAUUUUCAAACCACUAGGGUCGUGUAAUGUGAUAUAACACAGCAGGAAACUUUGUCAGUUGACGUUUCUCUGUAAACCAAAGUUAAAAAUAAAAUUGUCUCUAACACUUUUAUGCAUAUGGUUGAUCCGUAAUUGGAUGGUUUCUCUUGAAAUUUUGAUAAAAUAAGUAUUCGUGAGUUUUUCAAUGCCCUCAAAUACUCGUGUUAUCUUGAUGCUCCUUGAAAAACUCACUGGUUCAUGUUUUAUCCAAAAUUCACUCGAACCCAUUAUAUUACCUAUACAAAGAAGCCCUCAAGGUACCGUUUUAGG